CCUACGGGUGGCAGCAGUGAGGAAUAUUGGUCAAUGGGCGCGAGCCUGAACCAGCCAUGUCGCGUGAAGGAUGAAUGCCCUCCGGGUUGUAAACUUCUUUUAUAAAGGAAUAAAGUGAGGCACGUGUGCCUUUUUGUAUGUACUUUAUGCAUAAGGAUCGGCUAACUCCGUGCCAGCAGCCCCGGUAAUACGGAGGGUCCGAGCGUUAACCGGAUUUAUUGGGCUUAAAGGGAGCGUAGAUGGGUUGUUAAGUCAGAUGUGAAAGUUUGCGGCUCAACCGGAAAAUUGCAAUUGAUACUGGCAGUCUUGAGUACAGUAGAGGGAGGCGGAAUUCGUGGUGUAGCGGUGAAAUGCGUAGAGAUCACGAAGAAUGCCGAUGGCGAAGGCAGCUUACUAAAC
rnacentral:rRNA from 1 species